AUUGAACGCUGGCGGCAGGCCUAACACAUGCAAGUCGAACGAGUGGCGGACGGGUGAGUAAUGUCUGGGAAACUGCCUUAUGGAGGGGGAUAACUACUGGAAACGGUAGCUAAUACCGCAUACCAUCAGAUUUGCCCAGAUGGGAUUAGCUAGUAGGGGGGGUAACGGCUCACCUAGGCGACGAUCCCUAGCUGGUCUGAGAGGAUGACCAGCAACGCGGGAACUGAGACACGGUCCCGACGCCUACGGGAGGCAGCAGUGGGGAAUAUUGCAAAAUGGGCGCAAGCCUGAUGCAGCGAGGCCGCGUGUAUGAAGAGGGCCUUCGGGUUGUAAAGUACGUUCAGCGGGGAGGCGUUACCCGCAGAAGAAGCACCGGCUAACUCCGUGCCAGCCGCCGCGGUAAUAC
rnacentral:rRNA from 1 species